rnacentral:tRNA from 1 species
GCAGUGACGGCUCAGUGGUAGAAUUCUCAUCUUCUGUGUGGGAGACCCAGGUUCAAUUCCUGGCCAAGGCA